AGCAGACGCGUGGUUAAUGGCGCCAGAACGAUUUCGGAGGCCGAUGGAAGAUUCUGGAACAGUUGAGGAACCCAGAGUGUGGGGGUAACGUUUUGAGGAUGGGAGUUCAAAUCCAGCCUGAAUCCAGAACUGAAGCGAUGAGGCGGGGGCUAGAAUCAAUGCCACAAACUUCCCAGGACCAGGUCUACCCUUCAACUGUGGCAAAGACAAUGGGAGCUGCAGGCUGAGACUGUGUACAGAGAAUGAUAUUUAAAUGAAUGGGAAGUGUAUCUACAUCUUUAAGUGCUGCAAGCCCAUUGGGCAACAGUGACCAGCACAAAGCUCUGCUUGAUGAGAAAUGCAGUUCCUCCUCGAAUGUGUCACUGUCAAUUAGCAGCUCCCUGCACUGGUGGGAAUAAAACUGACUGCAUUUAUGACCACUUCUGUUCUGUGUUCAUUUCUCAUGGAGAAGCUCAUAGAAUCACACAGCAACCAAAGAGGACCUUCAGCCCAUCUGGUCAUAGACUCUCCCACAUGGGGAAUUAACGUCUCCACAUCUACCCUUUAGAAUCCCUCUAGAAUCUUCGAUGUUUCAAAAAGGUGCGAUCUGAUUCUUCUUAACUCUAUUCAGUACAGAUCCUACCCUACUCAAUCUUUCCUCAUAAGACAAUCCCUCUGUUUUGGGGAUCAGCCUGGUGACAAUUGUAAUGUCAGAGUAGAGGUGUUCACCAAUGAUGGCACAAUGUUCAGCACCAUUCAUGAGUCCUCAGACACCGAAGCAGUCUAUGUGCAAAUCCAAAAAGAUCUGGACAAUAUCCAGGCUUAGGCUAACAAUCGGCAAGUAAUAUUCACUCCACGCAAUUGCCAUACAGUGACCAUCUCCAGUUAGAGACAAUCUACUGCCUCUUGAAAGUCAAUGGUGCAAUCAUGACUGAAUUCCCCACUAUCAACAUCCUUUGGCUUAUAAUUGAACAGAAACUCAUGUGUAUUCACAAUAAGCACAGUGGUUACACGAGCAGGUCAGAGGCUAGGAAUAGUGUAGCAAGUAACUCAUCUCCUUACUGCCCAAAGCUAAUCCACCAUCUACAAGCACCAAGGCAAAAGUGUGUUGGAACAUUUGCACUUGCUUGGCUGAGUGUAGCUCCAACAACACUCGACACCAUCCAGGAGAAAGUAGCUCUCUUGACAUCCACAAACAUCCACUCCCUCUACCACUGAUGCUAAGUAGCGACAGUGUGUACUAUCUAUAAAAUCACCAGAGAUCCUUAGACGGCACUUUCUAAACCCACUUUCAAAUGGAAGGACGAGGGAAGCAGACACAUGGGAACACUACCACUUGCAAGUUCCUCAG